GAUGAACGCUGGCGGCGUGCUUAACACAUGCAAGUCGAACGGUGAAGCAGGAGCUUGCUCUUGUGGAUCAGUGGCGAACGGGUGAGUAACACGUGAGCAACCUGCCCCUGACUCUGGGAUAAGCGCUGGAAACGGCGUCUAAUACUGGAUAUGUGAUGUGACCGCAUGGUCUGCAUCUGGAAAGAAUUUCGGUUGGGGAUGGGCUCGCGGCCUAUCAGCUUGUUGGUGAGGUAAUGGCUCACCAAGGCGUCGACGGGUAGCCGGCCUGAGAGGGUGACCGGCCACACUGGGACUGAGACACGGCCCAGACUCCUACGGGAGGUAGCAGUGGGGAAUAUUGCACAAUGGGCGGAAGCCUGAUUCAGCAACGCCGCGUGAGGGAUGACGGCCUUCGGGUUGUAAACCUCUUUUAGCAGGGAAGAAGCGAAAGUGACGGUACCUGCAGAAAAAGCACCGGCUAACUACGUGCCAGCCGCCGCGGUAA
rnacentral:rRNA from 1 species